rnacentral:rRNA from 1 species
AGUGAACGCUGGCGGUAGGCCUAACACAUGCCAGUCGAACGGCAGCACAGUAAGAGCUUGCUCUUACGGGUGGCGGGUGGCGGACGGGUGAGGUAUACAUCGGAAUCUACUUUUUCGUGGGGGAUAACGUAGGGAAACUUACGCUAAUACCGCAUACGACCUACGGGUGAAAGCAGGGGAUCUUCGGACCUUGCGCGAUUGAAUGAGCCGAUGUCGGAUUAGCUAGUUGGCGGGGUAAAGGCCCACCAAGGCGACGCUCCGUAGCUGGUCUGAGAGGAUGAUCAGCCACACUGGAACUGAGACACGGUCCAGACUCCUACGGGAGGCAGCAGUGGGGAAUAUUGGACAAUGGGCGCAAGCCUGAUCCAGCCAUACCGCGUGGGUGAAGAAGGCCUUCGGGUUGUAAAGCCCUUUUGUUGGGAAAGAAAAGCAGCAGGUUAAUACCCAGCUGCUCUGACGGUACCCAAAGAAUAAGCACCGGCUAACUUCGUG